rnacentral:tRNA from 1 species
UCCGUUGUCGUCUAGUCCGGUUAGGAUACUUGGUUUUCAACUAGGCGACCUGGGUUCAAAUCCUGGCAACAAAA